rnacentral:lncRNA from 1 species
AAAAAUGGUAAUUCAUAUAGCUCUAACGUGAGUACAUCCAGCCAAAUUACGAGAAAAUAAAAAAUACAAGAGUUGGGGUAUGCCCCUCGCCGAUAUCCACAAAGACUCUUCAGAGUGCCGAGCGACGAAGGAGGCGAUCUAGUUCACAAUACUGUUCGCCUUCCUGAACACGUAUGAGAUCUGAACCUCCUUGAACUCCUGUACCAGUCUGCAACACUCUCAGAUGAGGGGAUGAC